rnacentral:RNase_P_RNA from 1 species
GCGGGCAGACGGGUGAUCGCUGCAAUUCCCGCAGAGGAAAGUCCGAACUCCGCAGGGCAGUGUGCCUCGUAAUGCGAGGGCCCCGUAAGGGGACGGAAAGUGCCACAGAAAACAUACCGCCGGAUCGGGACCUGUCCCGAACUUCGGUAAGGGUGAAAAGGUGCGGUAAGAGCGCACCAGUGGUCCGGUAACGGAUCAGCUUGGCAAACCCCACACGGAGCAAGGCCAAAUAGGGAAACGUGGCGUCUUUCGGGGCGCUGGGAACGGCCCGUUCCAGUUUCCGGGUAGGCCGCUUGAGCUUCAGGGAAACCCGAGGCCCAGAUGAAUGAUCGCCACCUGGAUCGCUUCAGGUACAGAAUUCGGCUUAUAGUCUGCCUGCCUAU